rnacentral:piRNA from 1 species
UGCAACAAGUAAGACUGAUUGCUGGUCAAGU